GCCGGGCGAGGUGGCACACACCUGUAAUCUCAGUGGUUUGGGAGGCUGAGGCAGGAGGAUCGCAAGUUCAAAGCCAGCCUCAGCAACUUAGGGAGGUGCUAAGCAAUUUAGCAAGACCCUGUCUCUA
rnacentral:sRNA from 1 species